rnacentral:misc_RNA from 1 species
GCAAACUUGGUCAUUUAGAGGAAGUAAAAGUCGUAACAAGGUUUCCGUAGGUGAACCUGCGGAAGGAUCAUUAAUGAAUAACUUGAUGUGGUUGUAGCUGGCUCUUAGGAGCAUGUGCACGCCCAUCAUCUUAUCUUUCCACCUGUGCACAUAAUGUAGAUCUGGAUAACUCUCGCUCCUCGGAGCGGAAACAAGGAUUGCUGCGUCGCAAGGCCGGCUCUCUUUGAAUUUCCAGGUCUAUGUCAUUACAAACUCCAAUUGAAUGAUGUAGAAUGAAGUCAAUGGGCUCUAAGCCUAUAAAACAAAAUACAACUUUCAGCAACGGAUCUCUUGGCUCUCGCAUCGAUGAAGAACGCAGC